AAAGAUCAAAAUCAAGAUAAAAAAAUCAAGAUAUUUUACUGCCCCAGUAUAGAUUUAGAAUCUUAUUUUUAGGUAUUCCUUAAAGCAUCCUGGUUUCCUUUGUUUGUGUUUUCUUGCAUUUGCCCCACAUACAUUUACAACGGUUUUCUAGAAACAGGGAUCCAAAGUUUCUGAAAUACUUUAAUUACCUAUUGAAAUGUCUAAGUAACUCAAAACCGAUUAAGCCAUUUAAAAUACUACAGGUAUAUAAAAGCACAAAACUAAGUGAAAGUUAGGUUUUCAUGUAUAAAGUAAGGUUAAAUUUGCUUAAUGAGUAAAACAUUGCCAAUCCUAACUGACUGCAGUUAUCAAAUCAGUAUUCCUAAAAUAGGUUUCUAACUCUCUGUGCAUUACAAAGCAAUAUUAGCAUGACUUUUUCUCCUCUGCAUUCACUCCUACAAAGAGAUGGGAUUUUUGAUUGGUUUAUUUCUUGUUUUCACUUUUGUGUGUGUGGUUGAUUUUGAUUCUGUUUUGUUUAGUUUGUUUGAUUGUUUUAAUUUUUAAAUAUUCCUUUUACAGCGUGUGGCUGUACCUGCCUAAGAAACAACUGCAGAAAUAAAAGUGUAUUACAACAUGUAGCCUGCUGUGUAGAAUCUCUGAAGAGAAGGAUUUAUUUUAAAUGGAGAUUAUCCUUUCAUGAAGACAGAAGUGUCUCAUUUCAUGAUGUGUCCGAGGGUGUAAGGUUCAAUAAAGACUUACAGACUUCAUGUGGAAUCUGGAAACUUGACUACUUUUGGCAAGAGGUGGAGAGUCCUGCUUUCUUUCAAAAUAUCAUGACAAUAUGGCUUUCUUUUCAGAAGGUACUUGCACAUAGCUUCCAGUAGGAUUUUUUAUAUUGUCUUCCUGAGGACUGAGAUAUGGCUGACCACUUCUAGUUUUCUGGAUCUUCUUUCUUGAUUUUCUUGAAGUUGCAGUUAAGGAUUUCUUAGUAUAUUUUAAGUAUACAAAGUAUGAUUCCUAUCACAGAGCAUGCUGCCGUUAUAAAUACAGUAAGAAAGGUCCACUAAACCUUCCCCAGACCACUUAUCCUUGGGGUACUCAGCCUCCUGACCUGGAAGUCUGGGACAACCAGGGGAUCAGGCCCAGUCAGCAUGGGUUCAUGAAAGGUAAGUCCUUCCUGACCAAUUUCAUCUCCUUCUAUGACGUACAUGUAGUCUACAUACACAUCAAAAUGGUUGUUGACACGGUCUCCCACAGCAUUCU
rnacentral:lncRNA from 1 species